GCUAGGAUAGUUCAAUUGGUUAGAACAUUAAUUUCAUGCAUUAAGAAUGAGAAUUCAAGUUUCUCUCCUAGCU
rnacentral:tRNA from 1 species